rnacentral:rRNA from 1 species
AGAGUUUGAUCAUGGCUCAGGAUGAACGCUAGCUACAGGCUUAACACAUGCAAGUCGAGGGGCAGCGCGGCGGAAGCUUGCUUCCGCUGGCGGCGACCGGCGCACGGGUGCGUAACGCGUAUCCAACUUGCCCUUGUCCCGGGGAUAGCCUCGCGAAAGCGAGAAUAAUACCCGGUGUAGCCACGGUUCCGCAUGGAAUUGUGGCGAUAGGUCCGCCGGACAAGGAUAGGGACGCGUCCCAUUAGGCAGG